AUGCAGGUGAAGGCCCUGGGUGUCAGGGACCCUCCUCACAAUGUGAAGGUCCAGUGCAGAGCCAGCACCCGUGACAAGGAGGCUGGGCUUGGGCCUCCCAUGCAGCUGCAGGCUGUGUCACAGUGUAUUCUGUUCGGCGGAGGGACCCAUCUGACCGUCCUCGGUCAGCCCAAGUCGGCCCCCUCGGUCACACUCUUCCCACCCUCCAAUGAGGAGCUCAGUGCCAACAAGGCCACCCUGGUGUGCCUCAUCAGUGACUUCUACCCCAGUGGCUUGACGGUGGCCUGGAAGGCAGACGGCACCCCCGUCACCCAGGGCGUGGAGACCACCAAGCCCUCCAAACAGAGCAACAACAAGUACGCGGCCAGCAGCUACCUGAGCCUGUCAGCGGACCAGUGGAAAUCCAGAAGCAGCUACACCUGCCAGGUCACGCAUGAGGGGAGCACCGUGGAGAAGAGAGUGGUCCCUGCAGAGUGCUCUUAGGUGCCUGAGACCCACACCCACCCAAGGGGAUGUGCAGCCAUUGAGCCUCCAGGAACGAUUCCCCUUGUACCAAGACCAUUCCAGCCCUUCUCCCAGCACCCAAUCGUUGCUCAAUAAAACGUCUCUUACUCAAUCAGAAA